rnacentral:rRNA from 2 species
GGUUAAGCGACUAAGCGUACACGGUGGAUGCCCUGGCAGUCAGAGGCGAUGAAGGACGUGCUAAUCUGCGAAAAGCGCCGGCGAGGUGAUAUGAACCUUUGACCCGGCGAUGUCCGAAUGGGGAAACCCAGUGUGUUUCGACACACUAUCGUUAACUGAAUACAUAGGUUAACGAGGCGAACCGGGGGAACUGAAACAUCUAAGUACCCCGAGGAAAAGAAAUCAACCGAGAUUCCCCCAGUAGCGGCGAGCGAACGGGGAGCAGCCCGGAGUCUGAAUCAGUUUGUGUGUUAGUGGAACGGUCUGGAAAGUCCGACGGUACAGGGUGAUAGUCCCGUACACGAAAAUGCACAUGCUGUGAACUCGAAGAGUAGGGCGGGACACGUGGUAUCCUGUCUGAAUAUGGGGGGA